GGACGGGAUUGAAGAGCUUGCUUUUCAUGAGAGUGGCGCACGGGCUGCGUAACACGUAUGUAACCUACCUUUAUCAGGGGGAUAGCCUCUCGAAAGAGAGAUUAAGCCCGCAGAAAAUCACAGCACAGCAUUGUGUAAUGAUCAAAUAUUUAUAGGAUAAAGAUGGGCAUGCGGAACAUUAGCUAGAUGGCGGGGUAACGGCCCACCAUGGCGACGAUGUUUAGGGGAUCUGACAGGAUGGCCCCCCACACUGGUUACUGAGGACCGGACCAGACUCCUACGGGAGGCAGCAGUACCGAAUAUUGGUCAAUGGGCCGAAGCGUGAACCAUCCAUGCCGCGUGGAGGAACACGGUCCCUAACGGUUGUAAACUCGCUUUUAUACCGGACUACAGCCCGAGUAGGGGUUCUGGCCUGAAUGUACUGCGAGACGAAGGAUCCCGUCUACGUCCGCG
rnacentral:rRNA from 1 species